AACGAACGCUGGCGGCAUGCCUAACACAUGCAAGUCGAACGAGACCUUCGGGUCUAGUGGCGCACGGGUGCGUAACGCGUGGGAACCUGCCCUUAGGUUCGGAAUAACUCCCCUAAAGGGGUGCUAAUACCGGAUAAUGUCUUCGGACCAAAGAUUUAUCGCCUUUGGAUGGGCCCGCGUUGGAUUAGCUAGUUGGUAGGGUAAAAGCCUACCAAGGCGACGAUCCAUAGCUGGUCUGAGAGGAUGAUCAGCCACACUGGGACUGAGACACGGCCCAGACUCGUACGGGAAGGAGCAGUGGGGAAUAUUGGACGAUGGGGGAAAGCCUGAUCAAGCAGUGCGGCGUGAGUGAUGAAGGGCUUAGGGUUGUAAAGCUCUUUUACCCGGGAUGAUAGUGACAGUACCGGGAGAAUAAGCUCCGGCUAACUACGUG
rnacentral:rRNA from 1 species